rnacentral:rRNA from 1 species
UAGGGAAUCUUCCGCAAUGGGCGAAAGCCUGACGGAGCAACGCCGCGUGAGUGAUGAAGGUCUUCGGAUCGUAAAACUCUGUUAUUAGGGAAGAACAAAUGUGUAAGUAACUAUGCACGUCUUGACGGUACCUAAUCAGAAAGCCACGGCUAACUACGUGCCAGCAGCCGCGGUAAUACGUAGGUGGCAAGCGUUAUCCGGAAUUAUUGGGCGUAAAGCGCGCGUAGGCGGUUUUUUAAGUCUGAUGUGAAAGCCCACGGCUCAACCGUGGAGGGUCAUUGGAAACUGGAAAACUUGAGUGCAGAAGAGGAAAGUGGAAUUCCAUGUGUAGCGGUGAAAUGGGCAGAGAUAUGGAGGAACACCAGUGGCGAAGGCGACUUUCUGGUCUGUAACUGACGCUGAUGUGCGAAAGCGUGGGGAUCAAACAGG